rnacentral:rRNA from 1 species
AUUGAACGCUGGCGGCAUGCCUUACACAUGCAAGUCGAACGGUAACAGGUCUUCGGAUGCUGACGAGUGGCGAACGGGUGAGUACUACAUCGGAACGUGCCUAGUAGUGGGGGAUAACUACUCGAAAGAGUGGCUAAUACAGCAUGAGAUCUACGUAUGAAAGCAGGGGAUCGCAAGACCUUGUGCUCCUAGCGCGGCCGAUGGCAGAUUAGGUAGUUGGUGGGAUAAAAGCUUACAAAGCCGACGAUCUGUAGCUGGUCUGAGAGGACGAUCAGCCACACUGGGACUGAGACACGGCCCAGACUCCUACGGGAGGCAGCAGUGGGGAAUUUUGGACAAUGGGCGAAAGCCUGAUCCAGCAAUGCCGCGUGCAGGAUGAAGGCCUUCGGGUUGUAAACUGCUUUUGUACGGAACGAAAAGCCCCGGGUUAAUACCCUGGGGUCAUGACGGUACCGUAAGAAUAAGCACCGGCUAACUACGUGCCAGCCGCCGCAGUAA